CGCUAUCACUCCUACGGGAGGCAGCAGUGGGGAAUAUUGCACAAUGGGCGCAAGCCUGAUGCAGCCAUGCCGCGUGUAUGAAGAAGGCCUUCGGGUUGUAAAGUACUUUCAGCAGUGAGGAAGGCAGGUACGUUAAUAGCGUGCUUGUUUGACGUUAGCUGCAGAAGAAGCACCGGCUAACUCCGUGCCAGCAGCCGCGGUAAUACGGAGGGUGCGAGCGUUAAUCGGAAUUACUGGGCGUAAAGCGCAUGCAGGUGGUUUGUUAAGUCAGAUGUGAAAGCCCGGGGCUCAACCUCGGAAUUGCAUUUGAAACUGGCAGGCUAGAGUCUUGUAGAGGGGGUAGAAUUUCAGGUGUAGCGGUGAAAAUGCGUAGAGAUCUGAAGGAAUACCAGUGGCGAAGGCGGCCCCCUGGACAAAGACUGACGCUCAGAUGCGAAAGCGUGGGGAGCAAACAGGAUUAGAUACCCUGGUAG
rnacentral:rRNA from 1 species